ensembl:snoRNA small nucleolar RNA, C/D box 2
GAGUGAAAUGAUUGCAUACCAUCUUUCGGGACUGACUUGAGAGAGAUUUUUAAUGUUUUUUUUUUUUUUUCCAAACAAAAUCAUCACUC